rnacentral:rRNA from 1 species
AUUGAACGCUGGCGGCAGGCCUAACACAUGCAAGUCGAACGAGUGGCGGACGGGUGAGUAAUGUCUGGGAAACUGCCUGAUGGAGGGGGAUAACUACUGGAAACGGUAGCUAAUACCGCAUACCAUCUGAUGUGCCCAGAUGGGGUUAGCUAGUAGGUGGGGUAAAGGCUCACGUAGGCGACGAUCCCUAGCUGGUCUGAGAGGAUGACCAGCCACAGUGGAACUGAGACACGGGCCAGACUCCUACGGGAGGCAGCAGUGGGGAAGAUUGAAGAAUGGGAGCAAGACUGAUGCAGCCAGGCCGAGUGUAAGAAGGCCUUCGGGUUGUAAAGUACUUUCAGAGGGGAGGCGUUACCCGAAGAAGAAGCACCGGCUAACUCCGUGCCAGCAGCCGCGGUAAUUC